UUAGCGGCGGACGGGUGAGUAACACGUGGGCAACCUGCCCCUUAGACUGGGAUAACUCCGGGAAACCGGAGCUAAUACCGGAUAAUCCCUUUCUCCACCUGGAGAGAGGGUGAAAGAUGGCUUCGGCUAUCACUAGGGGAUGGGCCCGCGGCGCAUUAGCUAGUUGGUAAGGUAACGGCUUACCAAGGCGACGAUGCGUAGCCGACCUGAGAGGGUGAUCGGCCACACUGGGACUGAGACACGGCCCAGACUCCUACGGGAGGCAGCAGUAGGGAAUCUUCCGCAAUGGACGAAAGUCUGACGGAGCAACGCCGCGUGAGUGAGGAAGGCCUUCGGGUCGUAAAGCUCUGUUGUGAGGGAAGAAGCGGUACCGUUCGAAUAGGGCGGUACCUGGACGGUACCUCACCAGAAAGCCACGG
rnacentral:rRNA from 2 species